GACGUAGGGUGCGAGCGUUGUCCGGAUUUAUUGGGCGUAAAGAGCUCGUAGGCGGCUCGUCGCGUCGACCGUGAAAACCCGCGGCUUAACUGCGGGCUUGCGGUUGAUACGGGCGGGCUAGAGUUCGGUAGGGGAGACUGGAAUUCCUGGUGUAGCGGUGAAAUGCGCAGAUAUCGGGAAGAACACCCGUGGCUAAGGCGGCUCUCUAGUACGGUACUGACGCUGAGACGCGAAAGCGUGGGGAGCGAACAGG
rnacentral:rRNA from 1 species